rnacentral:rRNA from 1 species
AACGGGUGAGUAAUGCACGUACGGAACGUAUCUGUAAGUGGGGAUAACGUAGACGAAAGUUACGCUAAUACCGCAUACGCUCGAGAGAGGAAAGUGGGGGAUCGCAAGACCUCACGUUAUAGGAGCGGCCGAUGUCCGAUUAGCUAGUUGGUGGGGUAAAGGCCUACCAAGGCGACGAUCGGUAGCUGGUCUGAGAGGAUGAUCAGCCACACUGGGACUGAGACACGGCCCAGACUCCUACGGGAGGCAGCAGUGGGGAAUUUUUGGACAAUGGGCGAAAGCCUGAUCCAGCCAUGCCGCGUGCGGGAAGAAGGCCUUCGGGUUGUAAACCGCUUUAGUCCGGGAAAAAGGGGUGCGAGGAUAAUACCCUCGUGCUUUGAUGGUACUGGAAGAAUAAGCACCGGCUAACUACGUG